GACGAACCGUGCAAACGUUAUUCGGAAUCACUGGGCAUAAAGGGCGCGUAGGCGGCUUUCUAAGUCAGGGGUGAAAUCCGGCAGCUCAACUGUCGCAGUGCCUUUGAUACUGGAGAGCUCGAGGGAGGUAGGGGUCUGUGGAACUUCCGGUGGAGCGGUGAAAUGCGUUGAUAUCGGAAGGAACGCCGGUGGCGAAAGCGACGGACUGGAUCUCUUCUGACGCUGAGGCGCGAAAGCGUGGGGAGCAAACGGG
rnacentral:rRNA from 1 species